rnacentral:rRNA from 1 species
CACUAUCGUUAACUGAAUACAUAGGUUAACGAGGCGAACCGGGGGAACUGAAACAUCUAAGUACCCCGAGGAAAAGAAAUCAACCGAGAUUCCCCCAGUAGCGGCGAGCGAACGGGGAGCAGCCCAGAGUCUGAAUCAGCUUGUGUGUUAGUGGAACGGUCUGGAAAGUCCGACGGUACAGGGUGAUAGUCCCGUACACCAAAAUGCACAGGCUGUGAACUCGAAGAGUAGGGCGGGACACGUGGUAUCCUGUCUGAAUAUGGGGGGACCAUCCUCCAAGGCUAAAUACUCCUGACUGACCGAUAGUGAACCAGUACCGUGAGGGAAAGGCGAAAAGAACCCCGGCGAGGGGAGUGAAAAAGAACCUGAAACCGUGUACGUACAAGCAGUGGGAGCACCUUCGGGUGUGACUGCGUACCUUUUGUAUAAUGGGUCAGCGACUUAUAUUCUGUAGCAAGGUUAACCGUAUAGGGGAGCCGCAGGGAAACCGAGUCUUAACUGGGCGUUAAGUUGCA